UGUGUGUGUGUGUGUAUGUGUAUAUAUAUAUAUGUGUAUAUAUAUAUAUAUAUAUACACACACACAUAUACAUACACACA